AAUCGUAGAUCAGAAUGCUACGGUGAAUACGUUCCCGGGCCUUGUACACACCGCCCGUCACACCAUGGGAGUGGGUUGCAAAAGAAGUAGGUAGCUUAACCUUCGGGAGGGCGCUUACCACUUUGUGAUUCAUGACUGGGGUGAAGUCGUAACAAGGUAACCGUAGGGGAACCUGCGGUUGGAUCACCUCCUUACCUUAAAGAA
rnacentral:rRNA from 1 species